rnacentral:rRNA from 1 species
AUUGAACGCUAGCGGCAGGCCUAACACAUGCAAGUCGAGCGAGCGGCGGACGGGUGGGUAAUGUAUGGGGACUGCCCGGUAGAGGGGGAUAACUACUGGAAACGAUGGCUAAUACAGCAUCCUGUCGGGUAACGCAUAUGGGAUUAGCUAGUAGGUAAGGUAAGGGCUCACCUAGGCGACGAUCCCUAGCGGGUCUGAGAGGUUGAUCAGCCACACUGGGACUGAGAUACGGCCCAGACUCCUACGGAGGCAGCAGUGGGGAAUAGUGCACAAUGGGAGCAAGCCGGAUGCAGCCCUGCCGCGUGUAUGAAGAAGGCCCUAGGGUUGUAAAGUACUUUCAGUCGGGAGGCGGUACCGACAGAAGAAGCACCGGCUAACUCCGUGCCAGCAGCCGCGGUAAUUC